AGUGCAAUUGCUGGGUUUGUGUAGUUUUUUAAGGAAAUUGCUAAAAUAUUUUUCAAAGUGGCUACACUAUUUUAUAUUCUCACCAGCAAU
rnacentral:miRNA from 1 species